GACGAACGCUGGCGGCGUGCUUAACACAUGCAAGUCGAACGGAAAGGCCCUGCUUUUGUGGGGUGCUCGAGUGGCGAACGGGUGAGUAACACGUGAGUAACCUGCCCUUGACUUUGGGAUAACUUCAGGAAACUGGGGCUAAUACCGGAUAGGAGCUCCUGCUGCAUGGUGGGGGUUGGAAAGUUUCGGCGGUUGGGGAUGGACUCGCGGCUUAUCAGCUUGUUGGUGGGGUAGUGGCUUACCAAGGCUUUGACGGGUAGCCGGCCUGAGAGGGUGACCGGCCACAUUGGGACUGAGAUACGGCCCAGACUCCUACGGGAGGCAGCAGUGGGGAAUAUUGCACAAUGGGCGGAGGCCUGAUGCAGCAACGCCGCGUGCGGGAUGACGGCCUUCGGGUUGUAAACCGCUUUCGCCUGUGACGAAGCGUGAGUGACGGUAAUGGGUAAAGAAGCACCGGCUAACUACGUGCCAGCAGCCGCGGUGAUACGUAGGGUGCGAGCGUUGUCCGGAUUUAUUGGGCGCAAAGGGCUCGUAGGUGGUUGAUCGCGUCGGAAGUGUGAUCUUGGGGCUUAACCCUGAGCGUGCUUUCGAUACGGGUUGACUUGAGGAAGGUAGGGGAGAAUGGAAUUCCUGGUGGAGCGGUGGAAUGCGCAGAUAUCAGGAGGAACACCAGUGGCGAAGGCGGUUCUCUGGGCCUUUCCUGACCCUGAGGAGCGAAAGCGUGGGGAGCGAACAGGCUUAGAUACCCUGGUAGUCCACGCUGUAAACGGUGGGUACUAGGUGUGGGGUCCAUUCCACGGGUUCCGUGCCGUAGCUAACGCUUUAAGUACCCCGCCUGGGGAGUACGGCCGCAAGGCUAAAACUCAAAGGAAUUGACGGGGCCCCGCACAAGCGGCGGAGCAUGCGGAUUAAUUCGAUGCAACGCGUAGAACCUUACCUGGGUUUGACAUGGAUCGGGAGUGCUCAGAGAUGGGUGUGCCUCUUUUGGGGUCGGUUCACAGGUGGUGCAUGCCUGUCGUCAGCUCGUGUCGUGAGAUGUUGGGUUAAGUCCCGCAACGAGCGCAACCCUUGUUCACUGUUGCCAGCACGUUAUGGUGGGGACUCAGUGGAGACCGCCGGGGUCAACUCGGAGGAAGGUGGGGAUGACGUCAAGUCAUCAUGCCCCUUAUGUCCAGGGCUUCACGCAUGCUACAAUGGCUGGUACAGAGAGUGGCGAGCCUGUGAGGGUGAGCGAAUCUCGGAAAGCCGGUCUCAGUUCGGAUUGGGGUCUGCAACUCGACCUCAUGAAGUCGGAGUCGCUAGUAAUCGCAGAUCAGCAACGCUGCGGUGAAUACGUUCCCGGGGCU
rnacentral:rRNA from 1 species